GCAGCGACACUAUGUGUUGUUGGGUAGGGGAGCGUUCUGUAAGCCUGCGAAGGUGACCUGUGAGGGUUGCUGGAGGUAUCAGAAGUGCGAAUGCUGACAUAAGUAACGAUAAAGCGGGUGAAAAGCCCGCUCGCCGGAAGACCAAGGGUUCCUGUCCAACGUUAAUCGGGGCAGGGUGAGUCGACCCCUAAGGCGAGGCCGAAAGGCGUAGUCGAUGGGAAACAGGUUAAUAUUCCUGUACUUGGUGUUACUGCGAAGGGGGGACGGAGAAGGCUAUGUUAGCCGGGCGACGGUUGUCCCGGUUUAAGCAUGUAGGCUGGUUAUCCAGGCAAAUCCGGAUAAUCAAGGCUGAGGUGUGAUGACGAGGCACUACGGUGCUGAAGUAACAAAUGCCCUGCUUCCAGGAAAAGCCUCUAAGCAUCAGGUAACAUCAAAUCGUACCCCAAACCGACACAGGUGGUCAGGUAGAGAAUACCAAGGCGCUUGA
rnacentral:rRNA from 1 species